CUAAAUUUCCUCCAUAACCUUAAUGACGAGUAUCUCUGACGAAUUCCCUUCUCCCUUAUGUUCUUUUCUGCCCAAGGGACAAAUAGCUCCGACAAAAUCGUCCAAGGAAGAACAGGUAAUUACUAGUAUUCGCGAUAUCAGUGUUCUUCUGAGGUUAUGUUCUGCAUGAGAAGAUUUAAGGAGCCAUUUAAUUUCUACGGGUCACAGGUGAUUUGAAGUUUAUGUAUGUACCAUGGCUGAAAGAGAUUAUGCAUUAGAAAUGUGGAGGCUUCUUGAUCUAUAAGCACACCUAAUUUAAACAAAGUAGCUUCUUCAUCAUGUUGUUUGUGUCAAAUCAGGUUGUCUAACAUUGAGUCCAUGUGCAUGAUGGUUCUGAGGCAUUGUAGCCUAGUUAAGGAGGGAAGACAGAGGUACUCCAUAGUCUUACAAGGUGCGCUAACCAUGACAUUUGAUCAUAUGCUUAAGGAGUACGUUGGUAAGCGAAUAGCUCCUUAGUGUGGAUGACCCGACUCAUGAGGAAGGCACAUGCAAUAUCCAGGUUGGUGAGGCCUAACCCAGUGAGUCAGAGAGCCAAAGAGUCGAGUCUAGGGGAAGCUAGCCCUUAACGCAGUUUGCUAAAAGAGGUAGUUGGGCAACUUAGGCAGAGGAGGAAGUCCCAUCUUUACACCUCUAGGUACCCGCUACAAGAAGCAGCAUUUAGUAGAGAAGAAAGUAAAUGAAGACUCUGGUGACUGUCCUUGGGUUGGAUUGUAGAAGACAAAAGGGAAAAAGGAUGUAAACGAAGUUGAUGCCCCUAACCACCGCUACAGAGAGUAGCAUUAGGCGGUGGAUGAAGGAAGAAAUGUGUGUUGCACCUUGGUGGGAAGAAGAAGGAUGUGAGAAUAUCAAAGUUAGGUUUAUUUUUACAUAAAGCAAAGUUGUCAAUUUUAAACUUGUACUUCUGUAAGCAAUAAGUUAAUAAAGAGAAGGAGUUUCAAGUUAUUCUA